rnacentral:rRNA from 1 species
GUGCCAGCCGCGCGGUAAUACGGGGGGUGCGAGCGUUGUUCGGAAUUAUUGGGCGUAAAGAGCGUGUAGGCGGCCGAAUAAGUCAGAUGUGAAAUCCCUGGGCUUAACCCAGGACGUGCAUUUGAAACUAUUCGGCUUGAGUAGGGGAGAGGAAAGUGGAAUUCCUGGUGUAGAGGUGAAAUUCGUAGAUAUCAGGAGGAACACCGGUGGCGAAGGCGACUUUCUGGCCCUAUACUGACGCUGAGACGCGAGAGCGUGGGUAGCAAACAGG